AUCCCCGCUGCCUCGUCACCAUCUGGAAAGCAUCGGCAGCUCGGGAGGCCGGGGUAACUGGCGGGUAGGAAACUAUGUGAAAGAACCUUCUGAUGUCAUAAUUUCUGGGUGUCGCUGGAAACAUUUGAUGAUCACUCCUUUGGCAGUUUUAGCCUUCUAUGGAAGGUCAGUAGAAGCAAUUGAUUUAUUCAUCUCUACGGGAAUCAGACAGCCUAUUUUGGUUUUCAGUGAAUUAUGCCUUUUCGAUUUGGAACCCAGCCAAGGAGGUUUCCGGUGGAAGGAGGAGAUUCUUCGCUUGGGCUGGAAGCAGGGCUGAGCUCCCAGGCUGCCUGCAACGGGAAAGAGAUGUCACCCAACAGGCAACUCCGAAGAUGCCCUGGAAGCCACUGCCUGACAAUAACUGAUGUUCCCAUCACUGUCUAUGCAACAAUGCGAAAGCCACCUGCACAAAGCAGCAAGGAAAUGCAUCCUAAAUAGCACCAUUAAGUCUUUUGUAGAGGUUUGACUAGGUCAAGGGUAAUGGGCCAGGAUCAUCUUAUGAUCUGGUAAACAAAUAAAAGUGGUGGCACCUUUGGAUGAUGA